AAAGGGGAUGGAUUUGAGUCUUAGGUCGCAGGUUCAAGCCCACACCAUGCAAAGUGAAGCCCGAUAUUUAAGUGGAGAAGGGUAGAGGGGCGGGUCCAUUAUCCACUGAGUUUAGAAGGCUAUGAUUUGUCCAAAGGGUGGGCCACAGGCGGAUUUCUCGGUUAUCAGAAAAAGAAAAAAAAAGAAAGAUCUCGCAGAGACUUCCGCGAACUCCAGAAGUUUUGAUGAUAGGGUUAUUGGAAUUCAACUUCUUUACACACAUUUGCAUAUUUGCCGUGAUAGCUCGCCAAUAUGGAUGGUAGUAUUUUCUUGAAUGACGGGCUCUUGAAGAUGAAGUGCAUUCUCCAAAUUCCAUAGCACCUCACCCAUAGAUGGCCUGUGCACCAGAUUCAGCUAAGUAUUUCACUGUGUUUCUCCAAAGUUGCUGAAGGAAUCUGGUCUUACUUCGCCCAGAAUGUCGGGAUAUAUGAUAUGUUCCAGUUGUCUUUUCUCCUGCAAAUUCAUUGCCCACUUAGCUAAGUUGACGUUCUCCCUCGGAAGAGAUCGAUCUCGGGCAGACCUAGCACAAAGAACUUCGCAUAAAAUGGUCACCAAUGGAGGAAGAAGAAGGAUGUUGAAACUGUUUAAGAACUGUUAAAGACACUCACCAAAAGGUGAAGAUGUUUUUGAAAGUCUUGGAGCACCUUUGAAUGUUGCUAAACCCACAAAAGAUUCAAGUGUGGCUAUUUUUUGACUAGGAGCUGUAGGCCUUAUUGCUGCAGACGGAGCAAAAAUUGCUAGUGCUUCAAGGAUAAUUUGUGUCGAUUUAAAUGCUAGCAGAUUUCAGUAAGCUAAGAAAUUUUAUGUGAAAAAGUUUGUGAACCCGAAGGAUUAAAGUAAACCAGGUCAAGAGGUAAUUGCUGAGAUGACUGAUUGCAAAUUCGAUCUGAGUGUGAAGUGUACUGGCCAUAUUGAUGCUAUGAUUUCAGCAUUUGAAUUGUCCAUGAUGUGUGGUCGUGGCUGUUCUUAUUGGUAUGUACCCCAUAAGGAAGCUGUGUUCAAGACACUUUUGAACUUUUUAAUGAAAGUACUAUCAAAGUAACCUUCUUUGGAAACUGGACACCUCGUUCGGAUAUUCCUUCUGUUGUUGAGAAAUACAUGAAUAAGGAACUUGAAUUGGAGAAAUUCAUCACUCAUACACUUCCCAUACUAUGAAAUCGACAAGUCUUUUUGAAUUAAUGUGAAGGGAGAAGGCCUUCAUUGCAUCAUCACCAUGGAGGACUAAACUUACUGUCCUAGAAAAGGAGCUUCUAGCUAGUCGCUUUUGUUUGAGAAAAGACCAUGAAUUGGGUGGAACACUAUGAGAAGGAUCCGAAAGCUGCAAUGGCUGGACUAUUGAACAUGAUGUUUGAGGUAAUUUGAUUUUUAAAUGUUUGUCUUUCUGAUGAACGAGGCAUCUUUUAAUCAUGUUGAAAGGGAAGCUCUGAGAUCUUGUAUAAAAGCUUUGAAUUUCUGGGCUACAGAGAUUUGGUGGGAGUUACAAGACUUCACCCUCAACAUAUUGAAAAGGAUUAUAGAUGAGCUCAUUAUCAACGUAUCAUUGUUCCAGAAAUGGGCAUCAAUGCAAUAUGGAGAACUGUAGUAUUUAAGAUGGAGACUUUCAUCAAAUGCUCCCUCAGAUGUCUGCCUAGUCUUCCUUCAGGAUUUUAAAUCUUCCGUCCUUCUGGUUAAAGAGGCAUUUAUUUAGAAUGGUUGUGCUCUUUUUUCAGAACAUUGGCUAAUCAGGAAAGCAACCCUUGUAUCAUCCACAGAGCUAGAAGCUUUGGGGUACUCAUCAGAUAUAUGCAACGGAAGCAGCUUCCAGACUUGGUAAACUGAUGAUGGAUGCCCUUAUUUUCAUGCAUAUGGAAUUGAGAAGAUCCUAUGGACCUGAAGAGUGGUUGCCCUCAAUGGAUCUGAUGGAUAAGCUUGAACUAGGCAGUGAAAGGACAUAGCUUGGUGGAUGGCUGUCAUACGGGAUGGUGAUGUUUGAAUAUUCACUGCUUGUAAACUUGAAAAUGUUGGAUGAUCUUCAAUUAUCGAGGCAAAUUUCCAUCGAAAGCUUGCAUAAUAAUCUUGCACAGACUGCCUCCAAGGCUUAGAUCGAGUGAAAGAAGGUGGUGUCGCAGGUUUGAGCCCCACACCAUGCAAAGUGAAGCCCGGAGUUUAAGUGGAGAGGGGUAGAGGGCGGACCUAUUAUCCACUGAGUUUAGAAGGCUAUGACUGGUCCAAAGAGCGGGUCACAGGCGGAUUUCUCGGUUAUAAAAAAAAAGAAUCUUGCAGAGGCUUUCAAGAACUCCAGAAGUUUUGAUGACUGUGGUAGCUCGCCAAUAGGGAUGGUACUGUUUUCUUGAAUGACGGGCUCUUGGAGAUGAAGUGCAUUCUCCAAAUUCCUUAGCACCUCACCCAUAGAUGGGGUGUGCACCAGAUUCAGCUAAGUAUUUCACUGCGUUUCUCCAAACUUGCUAAAGGAAUCUGGUCUUACAUAGCCCAGAAAGUCAGGAUCUACGAUAUGUUCCAUCUAUCUCUUCUCUUGCAAAUUCAUUGCCCAGUCAGCUAAGAUGACCUUCUCCCUCGGAAGAGAUCGAUCUCGGGCAGACCUAGCACAAAGAACUUCACAUAAAAUGGUCAUAAAUGGAGGAAGAAGAAGGAUGUUGAAACUGUUUAAGAACUGUUAAAGACACUCACCAAAAGGUGAAGAUGUUUUUGAAAGUCUUGGAGCACCUUUGAAUGUUGCUAAACCCACAAAAGAUUCAAGUGUGGCUAUUUUUUGACUAGGAGCUGUAGGCCUUAUUGCUGCAGACGAAGCAAAAAUUGCUAGUGCUUCAAGGAUAAUUUGUGUCGAUUUAAAUGCUAGCUGAUUUCAGUAAGCGAAGAAAUUUUGCGUGAAAAAGUUUGUGAACCCGAAGGAUUAAAGUAAACCAGGUCAAGAGGUAAUUGCUGAGAUGACUGAUUGCAAAUUCGAUCUGAGUGUGAAGUGUACUGGCCAUAUUGAUGCUAUGAUUUCAGCAUUUGAAUUGUCCAUGAUGUGUGGUAGUGGCUGUUCUUAUUGGUAUGUACCCCAUAAGGAAGCUGUGUUCAAGACACUUUUGAACUUUUUAAUGGAAGUACUAUCAAAGUAACCUUCUUUGGAAACUGGACACCUCGUUCGGAUAUUCCUUCUGUUGAAAUACAUGAAUAAGGAACUUUAAUUGGAGAAAUUCAUCACUCAUACACUUCCCAUACUAUGAAAUCGACAAGGCUUUUUGAAUUAAUGUUGAAGGGAGAAGGCCUUCGUUGCAUCAUCACCAUGGAGGACUAAACUUACUGUCCUAGAAAAGAAGCUUCUAGCUAGUCGCUUUUGUUUGAGAAAAUACCAUGAAUUGGGUGGAACACUAAGAGAAGGAUCCGAAAGCUGCAAUGGCUGGACUAUUGAACAUGAUGUUUGAGGUAAUUUGGUUUUAUUUCUUGCAUUUGUGUUGGGUAUUAUCAACACCUGAAACACUAGCAGUCAUAUUAGCAUUAAUCUGUUGAGGAGAAGUUUGGGGAAUUACCUGAUUGCUGGCAUCUGCAGUCUUCUUGCCCUUGAUUUUAUUUGCAGCU